GUGGCUAUAGCUCAGUUGGUUAGAGCGCCGGAUUGUGGUUCCGGAGGUCGUGGGUUCGAACCCCAUUAGCCACC
rnacentral:tRNA from 1 species